GGACUACUGGGGUAUCUAAUCCCGUUCGCUCCCCUAGCUUUCGCCCACGAGCGUCAGGUACCAGCCAGGACCCUGCCUUCGCUUUCGGUGUUCCUCCGGAUCUCUACGCAUUUCACCGCUCCACCCGGACUUCCAGGUCCCUCUCUGGCCCUCAAGAACGGCCGUCUUUGGUAUCCUCUCGUAGUGAAGCCACGAGCUGUCACACCAAACGCACCCUCCCGCCUGCGGGCCCUUUACGCCCAGUAACUCCGGACAACGCUCGCCCCCUACGUCUUACCGCGGCUGCUGGCAC
rnacentral:rRNA from 1 species